UACGUAGGGGGCAAGCGUUGUCCGGAUUUAUUGGGCGUAAAGAGCGUGUAGGCGGCCAAGCAGGUCCGCUGUGAAAACUCGAGGCUCAACCUCGAGACGUCGGUGGAAACCGUUUGGCUAGAGUCCGGAAGAGGAGAGUGGAAUUCCCGGUGUAGCGGUGAAAUGCGCAGAGAUCGAGGAGGAACCACCCGUAGACGGAAGGCGGCAGCCUCUGGGCCGA
rnacentral:rRNA from 1 species